CUUGCUCAAUAUCCAUGUUCUUCUGUACUCCAGAAAACAGUUGGAAAAAGAAUUGGAUGGUUUUUCUUCGCACCCGGAAUUAAAUUUUGGUUGCCCAGCGUAUGAAGACCCGCUCAAUGGUGAAGCAGGACAUCACUUACUACCAGAGCAACAUUUGGCUCUAUGUUUGUAUUUCAUUGAGCGUAAUUUUCACUUCACUGGUGAUGGAAUUUGGGCUGAUACUAUUGUUCCUGCUGUUACAUCUGCACCUGGUACAUAGGUUGUUAAUGUUUGCUUAAUAGACAUUACACUCCAGUUAAGUCAGAAAUUGUCCAGUGUCUGAUAUAUUUCAUAUGCAGAGUGUAACUUAAAGUUCUGGGACAGAUGUAAGGUUGAGUUGUGCAUACCAAAAUAAUGAUGGAAGUUCAUGUGAACAUAGAUUCAGAAGAGCCUCCUUCUGAUUACAACCCUCUUUUCUUUUCCAAAAUAUGUAAUCAGUAUGAUACUUAUGUUCCUUUCUCUCUGAGCACACUUGGUUACGGUGAUGCCAGGCAGCAGUGGCAACAGAGUGCCAGGGUCACACAAUACAGGCAGAUCAACUUUCACCAGUGUACAUCUGCAUCAACAGCACUACCAAUAUUAAUCAGUGCUGCCAUUUAUAUUGUUUACAGAAUCCAUAUUUCAUAUUUAUUCCCUCUACAUUUAAUUUGUUUUAUUAAUGUUGUCCAAAGGCAGUAUAAAAAUGAUGGACGAUAAACACUGUUUAAAUAGUGUAACUGUAUCAGUGUUGAUAAUUAAAUUAGUUUGUGCUGAGUGUUUCUUGAAAAUGUUUGUUUAUUUACUCCAGAGCAUGGCAGACAUGCGUUUCUUUGUGGGCGUGGACUUGUCAACAGUGUGGAGACCAGGAGCUUAUAGACAACAUUCUGAGCACUGGCUAAGAAGAACUUUCUGCUUCAAAUGUAGCAGGCAAGGCAGUACCAGAAAUUUCUCAAAGAAAAAGAUGACUGUACUUGCAAAAGAGAUUUCUUGUAUCUGUGUUUAUGCAAACUUUGUUUUUGUGCAUAGAAUUUGCCCUUAAAUUUGUUCAAAAUCUUUAAGUUACACCCUGUACUGUAUUGUAUACAUUGUAAUAAACACUAAUUAUUAAAUAUGUCUCAGACAGUGGAUAAUUGUGAGAUACUAAAACAUUACUAGACAUAGCUGGUCAAAUAUGACAUUUUGUGUGAGUAUACAUGUAGAUUAGUCAUACCAUAGUUCUGUUUCUUGGUGCGAGAACCUCGCAACUAAUAGCGUGUUUUGGAAAAAUCAGGGUUUGUACUUCAGCCAUGUCUCAGAAAUUUGUGUAGCUGUGGUGGUACUUUUUACUGAUGUUACAUCGGUCUUAUGUAUAACCAUCUUGACUACUGUUUGGCAUAAACCCUAGAACUGUGUUUAAAAUUUAGUUAUAUGGUUCUUGCAGUUUGCCUGAGUCAUGCUGUGACAAUGUAUAUGUCUGUGCUGUAUAAUGGCAACAAAUGAAAUCAUCCUUAAAUGAACCAAGAUUAAAAUAAGUUAACUUGUAAUGCAUACAAAAUUAAAGGAUGGCUAUAUUUUUAUUUAUAGCAUGAACUUUUCAUAGAACAAGUUUACAAAUAUAUUUACAGAAAACAUGUAAAACUGAUUAUUGUGAAUUUUGAAAGAUGUCUUUUGUAUUUCUAUAUUGUCCUCAGUCUUUACACAGUAAUUUAUGAAUAGGUAAAACACUGAUGUGUGUUAUUUAUUUCAUGUCGUUUUUCUUAUGACAUGUUUCAGGCUAUUUUCCCUUUAUCAGAUAAUGCCACUUACAACCCAUUUUGAUGACAUUAUUAUAAUUUGUACUGUUUGCAACACUCAUCAGUAUUCUGGUAUUAUCAUCAGAAUCUCAGUCUUAAAUGUGUUCUGCUUUUUAACUUCCAUAAUAGUCCAAUUCUGAUCAAGUCUACAUUGUUGUUACUAUUUACAUGUAUAAUAUUUUGUUAUAUUGUAAGAUGAGGUGCGACAAUUAAGUUCCCAGAAUGCUCGUGUAAAAGCUAUAUUUAAUUACUUACACACUAACAGUUGUUGCACCUUCAAAGAAGUCUCCAGUGCUUAUAACAUUUCUGGAAUUUCUCUUCAGGAUGCUUGCUGAAUGUCUAUGAAUGUUGGCAAUGUCUGAAAAUCUGUGGCCCUUCAAAGCAUUCUUCAGUUUUAAGAAUAGCCAAAAGUAGCACGGGGCCAAAUCUGGCUAAUAUGGUCAAUGGUCAGAUUUCAAUAUAAAUUUUUUGUUCAAAAACUCUUGGACAGUGAUUGUGGUGUACAUAUUAUUUGUCCGUUCAUAGGAUGAUAUAUGAGUAAUGAUUUGGAAAGGAUAUGGAAGGAAAUGGUUGUGGCAUGAUUUAAGGUAUAUCCCAGAAUUUGCCUGGAAUGACUAAGGAAAACUAUGAAAACUCUUAGUCAAGAUGUUUAAUCCUUGGGCCAAGAAUUGAACAUGGGACCCCUCAAUAUAAAUCAGGAGCCCUAAUCUCUAAACCAAAAUGUUCAGUGAUGACAGUGCACAUGUGAACACAAAUUCAGUGGACAGUCAUAUAAUUAUGUUUCGUACAUAAUGCUGCAGUUUAUUCAGCACUCACGGAGUUGUGAAGUGCAUACAAAAUUUUUAUUAGGUAAUCUUGAAACAAUUGACCACUUGGGACACAAAAUUUGAAGGACAGAAAAAUAGGAUGUGGAUUGGGUUAAGGUAUUCAACUGCCUCUUGACAGGAUGCAUUGGCAGGCGCUUGUGAACGAGUGGUGAAUGAGCAGUCUGAUUCAAUAAAACAGGUAGUUUCUUGGUCGCAUAAAUAACUAUCGACUUUUUGAGUACAGAAAAUGAGCUGAAAGAUCAGUUAUUUAUAUUUUCUUGCAUAAGAUACAUAUUGCUUUUCCUAUGGGGUAAUAUAAAAUUACUGAAACACUAUCAUUGUGUGUAUAAUUACUACAGAAUUGUAAAAAAAAAAUUCACGCGCGCGCACACACACUGAAACACUUCAUUUAUAGUCAGAAUAGGAUACCACAAUACACAUUAUUGUUACAAAAAUAUCUUUACUGUGAGAAACAAAUUAUGGAAGGCAUGUUAAAUCCCAAAUUCACAGCAUAUUUUCCAUUGAUAAAUGAUAUACAUACUUCACACUUAAAACACACAUAAAAAUACAUAAUAUGUCCAGACUUAAAGUACUGUUUCAGUAUACUCUACUACAAAUUAUUAAGGCACAUGAAUGCAGUGUGGGAUUAAAAUUUCCCCGUAAAUUCAUACAAGUAAUCAUUACACUUAAAAUCAGUUGGUGCAAGGCCUAAACAUUAAAAUAAAAGGAAGUCAGCCAAGAUUCAAACUGGACACCCCUCGGUCAAGAAGAACGGUGUCACCCAACCAAGUAACUACAAUUUUGCAGUUAAGAAUUAGGUAUGGUUGGUUGGAAGUCAUGCACAAAGGCAACUGCAAAAAUAUACAUAAAAGUUUCUUAAAUAACACAUUGUGUUAACUAAAGUAUGAAUAGAGUUACUAAGAGCUAUACAUUAUGUUGUUUAGGCAUUUUAACCUUAAACUUUGAAUUAGUUGUGCAUACGUACAUAUUUGUGAACACAUGUAUGUACCCAAAUAACACACUGAUUCACUGUGUAAAGGAACAAUGUUGCUUGAAGACGUUUGUUAAUUCUCCAACAAACAUUAUUACAUGACUUCAGGAUUAUGGUCUUCUGAGCAAUGACAUUGUGUAAUCUUGUAGAUAAUUAGUAACAUUUUAGGGGAACAUAUUACUUCCAUCUUUCUACUUGAAGUUGGAGGCUGUUCCUUCCAGACUUUAGUAACCAUUUAAAAAACUACAUAGCAUUAUAACCCAGAACACAAUCCAUAUUUUCACAGUCUAUAUUUUAAUCACUGUGAAAACUUAAACCUCAUGAAGAAAACAAUGUUUUCAAUCCUAAGGUCAAGAUUGGCAGUUUACAUUUGAGCAUUUAUGAGUGUUGAAUGAUGGAAGCAAGUUUCGAAGAGUAUUGGAUAAGUAAAUUGAAAAAGGAAGUUCUUAAAUGUUUUAAUGCUGAGCCUAAAUUCUAAAAUAAUUGAAAUGAGUGGCAAUGAAUAUUGCUGCAAAAAUAGAAUUUUGGAUUUUUUUGAUGGUUCGUGUAAACAAUAAGAUCUUGCUCUUUUACACCGUUUCAACAAGACUAGGCAGCACAAAUGUCCGCUUAGUAAUACAAGGUAAACUGUGUGGCUCUACAUUUUACCAUUGCUCUUUUUACGUACAGUACCAAUAAAACACCCUGUUGAGAUGUGUCCUGGUUUGUAUUUGGAGUUCUGUUCAUGCUUUCAGAAUCCAGUAGUGUUCCACGUUGUAGUUCGGGAAAGAAUUCUGCAUAUACCAUGUAUUACCUUGUAAACAGCAGUUCAGUUUCAGUUAUCUGCUUCUGUAUUGAGACUUAUCUCAGAACAUCAAAGUUACUACACAGUUUACAUUGUGUCUUGAAUCAGGACUCCAUCAAUCUUAAAUACUCAAAUCUGCUAACCACUCAAAGGAGUGCUUUAGUAUAUAUUCUGACAAAUUAAAAAUGCAUUUCCCCUCGAUAGUAGGUCGGCCUCAUAUGUCCACUGACUCUUCCCCUUCCUGUACACCACAGAAGAACAGGCAUUUGGAUUUUAUAUAAGUAUUGCAUCACAGAAACUCUAAAGUUUUUCAUUUCACUUGGCAUAAUGAAUGUAUGUAUGCACAACAUAUUACAUUUCUAUCAGUAUAGAGCACCUAUACCAAACAAACCUUUCUUAACUUCUCACAUUAGUGCUGGGUAGAGGGGAGAUAAUUCCUGCAGGGAAUGUGAUUAAAAAUCAAGGAGUUCUCGCCGGCGGUCUUUUUCAUUUUACCAAAAGUAAGGUCAAAUGUCGUAACUACUAAAUUCCUUGUGGACUAUUUUUAAAGGCCCACUGCAUGACUUGGCAACCAGUGGUGUAAGAUGAGCUGGAAAAUGUCAGCAGGACUGACUUGUAGCUGAUGUGUGGUAUAUGACAAUGCUGGAGGAGGAUAAAUGAGUAAGAACUUUGAAAUAUCAAGAGCAAAGCUAAAUUUUAAUAACUGUUCAUGAUAUUAACAGCAAGGAAGAGUGUAUUACAAGAUUCAUCAGCGCAAUUUCAGUUUCUAAAUUUGUGUGUUGUACUUCUUCCAUAGUCAGACAGAAUGGAUAGAAUGAAUGUGCACCCUACUAGGUCUCCACCCAAGAUUUGCCAUAUAAAGUAAUUAGGAUUAUAAGGUUUACCAACACAGAAAAUUUGUAAUGUGUACUAGAACAUCUAUAAAACCAACAAAAGCACUUGCAAGUUGUGUGCUGUUGCAUUCAUAGUGACUGGCUGCAAAUUGUGAUUCUUUAAUAUCCUUUUAUUACUGCAUUCAGACCUGAAGAAUUUAAUCAUCACUAUCUUUCUACUACUAUGCCCCAUUGGCCAUGUCUGUGUAUUAAAAAACAUGAAUGUUUUCAUCUGUCUUUUGCACAAAAUGCAUAAAGGAAACCCACAAUUGGAAGUUCAUAUCUACCAACGUGCAUAUUUAAUUUCCAAACCACUCGAUAGAUUUGAAUUAAAUUUGGUAUUUGAGGUCUAAACUGAAAGUUUUCAGGUGAUUUUUUUAUAUGCACUACUGAAAUAAUCCUUUAUUUUUUUAUUUUUAUCAUGUGGCUCAUCAUGUACAAAAAUGUUUAUACUGGUCAUAAAAUAUCUCAUUAAGAUUAAAAUGUUUAUUUUAAGCAUGUUUUAUAUGGUGAAUAUUUAAUUGAACACAAGGUAAAAUAAUUUUAAGAUCCACUGCAGCAUACUUGUUACAUAAAUCCCGAAGGAAAAGCUUGUCAAAAGACUGAAAAGAUACCAGGCUAAAUAAAGAAAUUAGUGUGUU